AACCCUUGACAUCGCCUGACCGGCCUGGAGACAGGUCUUCCCCGGCAAGGGGCAGGUGGACAGGUGCUGCAUGGCUGUCGUCAGCUCGUGUCGUGAGAUGUUCGGUUAAGUCCGGCAACGAGCGCAACCCACACCCUUAGUUGCCAUCAGGUUAUGCUGGGCACUCCAAGGGAACUGCCCGUGAUAAGCGGGAGGAAGGUGUGGAUGACGUCAAGUCCUCAUGGCCCUUACGGGUUGGGCUA
rnacentral:rRNA from 1 species